GAUGAACGCUGGCGGCGUGCCUAAUACAUGCAAGUCGAGCGAACAGACGAGGAGCUUGCUCCUCUGCCGUUAGCGGCGGACGGGUGAGUAACACGUGGAUAACCUACCUAUAAGACUGGGAUAACUUCGGGAAACCGGAGCUAAUACCGGAUAAUAUAUUGAACCGCAUGGUUCAAUAGUGAAAGACGGUUUUGCUGUUACUUAUAGAUGGUUCCGCGCCGCAUUAGCUAGUUGGUAAGGUAACGGCUUACCAAGGCAACGAUGCGUAGCCGACCUGAGAGGGUGAUCGGCCACACUGGAACUGAGACACGGUCCAGACUCCUACGGGAGGCAGCAGUAGGGAAUCUUCCGCAAUGGGCGAAAGCCUGACGGAGCAACGCCGCGUGAGUGAUGAAGGUCUUCGGAUCGUAAAACUCUGUUAUUAGGGAAGAACAAAUGUGUAAGUAACUAUGCACGUCUUGACGGUACCUAAUCAGAAAGCCACGGCUAACUACGUG
rnacentral:rRNA from 1 species